rnacentral:rRNA from 1 species
GGAAGGAUCAUUAACGAAAUGGGAUCUCUCAAACGAGAGGUCCGACUCACCCACACCCGUGCACUCAGCGAACGUCUGUAGAAGGCUCCCUCUCAAAGGGGGGUCGAGACGUUCACUCCCUUUACAUCUCAAACGCCUGUUAAACGAGCAUGUCUAUCGAGCUCUACGGAGCGCAAACAAUACAACUUUCAACAACGGAUCUCUUGGCUUUCGCAUCGAUGAAGAACGCCGCGAAAGUGCGAAACGUAAUGUGAAUUGCAGAAUUCAGUGAAUCAUCGAAUCUUUGAACGCACCUUGCGCUCCUUGGUAUUCCGAGGAGCAUGCCUGUUUGAGUGUCGUGAAGUCUCUCGACCCCGUGGCCUUUACUGUGCCGGGGGUCGGAUUUGGACGCUGCCGUCUCUCGAAGACGGCUCGUCUCGAAAUGCAUCGGCCGUCCCCAUCGCGCAGACUACGGUGUGAUAAGUCACGUUCGCCGGCGUCCGUGUAAGGGGGUGGCUCACAGUCGUCUCCGGACAAACCGACCUUUAACGUCUGACCUCAAAUCAGGUAGGACUACCCGCUGAACUUAAGCAUAUCAAUAAGCGGAAGAAAAGAAACUAACAAGGAUUCCCCUAGUAACGGCGAGUGAAGCGGGAAGAGCUCAAAUUUGUAAUCUGGCGGUCUCAGGCCGUCCGAGUUGUAGUCUGGAGAAGCGUUUUCCGUGCCGGACCGUGUACAAGUCCCUUGGAACAGGGCGUCGUAGAGGGUGAGAAUCCCGUCUCUGACACGGACCGCCGGUGCCAUGUGAUGCGCUCUCGAAGAGUCGAGUUGUUUGGGAAUGCAGCUCAAAAUGGGUGGUAAAUUCCAUCUAAAGCUAAAUAUUGGCGAAAGACCGAUAGCGAACAAGUACCGUGAGGGAAAGAUGAAAAGCACUUUGGAAAGAGAGUUAAACAGUACGUGAAAUUGUUGAAAGGGAAACGCUUGAAGUCAGUCGCGUCUUCCGAGACUCAACCGGGUGUCUUCACCCGGCGCACUUCUCGGUGUGACGGGCCAGCAUCGAUUUCGACCGUCGGAGAAAGGCUCGGGGAACGUGGCACCUCCGGGUGUGUUAUAGCCCCCUGUCGUAUGCGAGGGUCGGGAUCGAGGACCGCAGCACGCCCUUCACCGGGCCGGGGUUCGCCCACGUAACGUGCUUAGGAUGCUGGCGUAAUGGCUUUAAGCGACCCGUCUUGAAACACGGACCAAGGAGUCUAACAUGCCUGCGAGUGUUUGGGUGGCAAACCCGAGCGCGUAAUGAAAGUGAAAUGGGUCGAGACCUCCGUCGUGGGGGGCACCGACGCCCGGACCAGACCUUUUGUGACGGUUCCGAGGUAGAGCAUGUAUGUUGGGACCCGAAAGAUGGUGAACUAUGCUUGAGUAGGGUGAAGCCAGAGGAAACUCUGGUGGAGGCUCGUAGCGAUUCUGACGUGCAAAUCGAUCGUCGAACUUGGGUAUAGGGGCGAAAGACUAAUCGAACCAUCUAGUAGCUGGUUCCUGCCGAAGUUUCCCUCAGGAUAGCAGAGACUCGUAUCAGAUUUAUGUGGUAAAGCGAAUGAUUAGGGGCCUUGGGGUCGAAACGACCUUAACCCAUUCUCAAACUUUAAAUAUGUA